UACGUAGGGGGCAAGCGUUGUCCGGAAUCAUUGGGCGUAAAGAGCUCGUAGGCGGUUUGUUGCGUCGGCUGUGAAAUCCCGAGGCUCAACCUCGGGUCUGCAGUCGAUACGAGCAAACUAGAGUGUUGCAGGGGAGACUGGAAUUCCUGGUGUAGCGGUGAAAUGCGCAGAUAUCAGGAGGAACACCGGUGGCGAAGGCGGGUCUCUGGGCAACAACUGACGCUGAGGAGCGAAAGCGUGGGGAGCGAACAGG
rnacentral:rRNA from 1 species